rnacentral:misc_RNA from 1 species
AGGUGAUAGUUUACAGGAACAGCGGAAGUUUCUGUGCAUCUGUUUUGGCAGGCUACAUACUAAUGAAAACUCAUACCUCCUAUUUCUCCCGACAUUAUUAAGUAUUAACAAUAAAUAAACCAGACAUCAUCCGCUUGAACAGAAACAAGUUAAUUAAUGGGGAAAAGGGAGACAUAUUAGCAUGUGAAAGCAAUAGGGAACCGGUAUCCCAUAGAUACGUCUGAUGUGAUUUAGACAUUGCUUACAAGUUUAGCAAUGUUUUUGUACCUUAUUUUAAGAUUUAUUUUUAUGAAUGAUGACAAAGAAUGAUGGAAUCAGGUUUACCACAAUGUAAAAUAAUAAUUAAAGGUAAAGUGAGCAGUAACCUUCAUCCCAG